GAUGAACGCUAGCUACAGGCUUAACACAUGCAAGUCGCGGGACCGGCGCACGGGUGAGUAACACGUAUCCAACCUGCCCUUUACUCGGGGCUAGCCUUUCGAAAGAAAGAUUAAUACCCGAUAUAAAGGAUGGGGAUGCGGUCCAUUAGGUUGUUGGUGAGGUAACGGCCCACCAAGCCUUCGAUGGAUAGGGGUUCUUAGAGGAAGGUCCACAACAUUGGAACUGAGACACGGUCCAAACUCCUACGGGAGGCAGCAGGGAGGAAUAUUGGUCAAGGGGCGUUAGCCUGAACCAGACAAGGAGCGUGAAGUAUGAAGGCUUAUGGGUCGUAAACUUCUUUUAUAUAAGAAUAGGUAUUAUAUGAAUAAGGAUCGGCUAACUCCGUGCCAGCCGCCGCGGUAAUAC
rnacentral:rRNA from 1 species